UCGGGAUAGCUCAGUCGGGUAGAGCAGAGGACUGAA
rnacentral:tRNA from 1 species